ensembl:lncRNA
GUCGAAUAAUAAUAAGGCAGAACAGUUGAAACUGGAGCAGCAGCACGGCCAGGUGGACUGGGGACAGCAAGGAGUCAUCAUGUCAGGUAGUCCUGGGGCAUGGUCCUAGGGCUCAGGUCCUCCGAGAGAGAGAAAGAAAGAGAGAAAGAGAGAAUUAGAGAAAGCACACUUAAAUUCACACAGGACACCGAAUAGGACAGGAGAAGUACUCCAGAUAUAACAAACUGACCCUAGCCCCCCGACACAUAAACUACUGCAGCAUAAAUACUGGAGGCUGAGACAGGAGGCUUCUCCCCCGAUUGCUCAGUUUGGCCAGGCUGCGAGCUCUAGGAAGAGUCUUGGUGGAUCCAAACUUGUUCAAUUUAAGAAUGAUGGAGGCCACUGUGUUCUUGGGGACCUUCAACGCUGCAGAAAUCUUUUGGCACCCUUCCCCAUAUGUGCCUCAAAAAAAUCCUGUCUGAGCUUCACAAUCAAUUCCUUCGACCUCGUGGCUUGGUUUUUGCCCUGACAUGCACUGCCAACUGUGGGACCUUAAAUAGACAGGUGUGGAUUUCCAACCGAUGUCCAAUCAAUUGAAUUUACCACAGGUGGACUCCAAUCAAGUUAUAGAAACAGCUCAAAGGAUGAUCAAUGGAAACAGAAUGCACCUGAGCUCAAUUUCGAGACUCAUAGCAAAGCGUCUGAAUGCUUACGUAAAUAAGCCAUCUGUUUUUUAAUUUUUAAUAAAUGUACAAACAUUUCUCAAAACCUGUUUUCACUUCAUUAUUAUGGGGUAUAGUGUGUAGAUUGCUGAGGAAUUGUAUUUAUUUAAUCCAUUUUAGAAUAAGGCUGUAACAAAACAAAAUGUGAAAAAAAUGAAUAUAAUAAUUAUAAUUCCCUUCUCCCAGCAGCCUGCUUCGAAGCACCUCUCACUCACCAGGCUCUCUCAGAUAAUUCACCUAAUAUUAGCCAAUGCCAACCAGGGUCAUUGAUGUUUCCUCUGACACAUUGGUGCGGCUUGCUUCUGGAUUAAGCAGGUGGGUGUUAAGAAGCGCAGUUUGGUGGGUCCUGUUUCGAAGGACGCAUGACUCGACCUACCGAGCCCAUUGGGGAAUUGCAGCGAUGAGACAAAAUUGAAAAAGGGGGUAAAAUACCCAAAAUAUAUCAAAUGUAUACUACAGUUCAAAAGUUUGGGUUCACUUAGAAAUGUUCUUGUUUUUGAAAGAAAAAAUAUAUUUUUUUGUCCAUUAAAAUAACAUCAAAUUGAUCCGAAAUACAGUGUAGACAUUGUUAAUGUUGUAAAUGUUGUAAAUGACUAUUCAUUGACAGGGCUGCAGUGAAGCGGGUCGAGAGUUUGAAGUUACUUGGUGUCCACAUCACCAACAAACUAUCACGGUCCAAACACACCAAGGCAGUCGUGAAGAGGGCACGACGACAGCUUUUCCCCCUCAGGAUUUGGCAUGGGUCCCCAGAUGCUCAAAAAGUUCUACAGCUGCACCAUCGAGAGCAUCCUGACUGUUUACAUAACCGCCUGAUAUGGUAACUGUUUGGCAUUUUAAUUAAUUUUUUAAAAUUAAUUUUAAAACAGCCAUAAAAUCAAGCUUUUGGUGUGGUGUAUGCAUGCAUCUUAAUAAACUAUAACUUAAUAAACUAAACUAUAACUAAAUACAUUAUUACCUCUAACUUGGACCAAUUCACAUUUCAAUUGCCCACCCUGACACACCAAUCGAGAACGGGUCCUGCAUCUCAACCAAUAGCCAAUGUAGGCUAAAUAUACCAAGCAGAGCUACAGCAACUUCCAGAGAGGAUCAUGCUCCUUGGGUGGCCACUCUGGUUUGGGUGUCCUCAGCAGAACGGUGAUGCCGUAAGCAAGUGGUCACUUCUAGGUUUCACUGCGCAAGAGGAGGUCUGUGGGGUUUUAUGAAUAUCAAGGCAGACACACAGUUUUUUUUCAACGUUAUGAUUGGCGUCCACAGUGCACACACAUUCUCGCCACCGCCAGGAAGAAGGUAGGGAAGAAACCACCAGCAUUAAAUCCCUGCAGAAUCAUAUAGGCCACCUACCUGCUCUCUAAAAAGUUGGGCAAAACAAAUACUGUCUAUUAUAUUGACAAAAUAGUUGAGUGACCUUUCUAACAAUGGAAUACAUGUCCUCAAAGAUGGAAGGACAGGCGGGAGAGGAGGCCAGAUCAGGUGGGACCAUUGUAGCCAAAUAUAGGGCAGAUAAGCGUGUCAACAAUGGGACAUAGAGAUAGAUAGAGGACUCAUCUUUGUUUCUGUGCCAUAGUCUACCACUGUAUGAGUCAUAAAACCCAUAAAACCUAGCGGUCAAACACGGAAAUGGUUCAAAUCUUUUUUUCACCUUUCAUUUUAUCCAUUGUGGCUAUAUAACGCAUGCUCACUCUCAAGUUGAACUUGAACUUGUUGACUGAUGCCAUUGCGGCGGGUUCUAAGAAGAUGGGAGCAGCUGUACACCAGAAGACUGUAGCCAAAGCAGCCAAGGCACCUGUCUGUAGGAUGCAGACCCGAAGACAUUCAUGCACACGCUGAGACCCCGAGUAUGACUGGACAUGGGCUGGAUAUUUGGUACAAAGAUCUAAAAAGGGUGAAGAAGCACACCAGCACCCCAUUGUAUGUUUAUUCCAUGGCCAACCAUCUCUCUGCCUACCCCUUAUUCCACACUAUGCCUUUUAUGCCUGAUGGUCCAUCAACUUCGGAUACUUUGGAACUCUCCAUGUGCGGCUUCCUUUACUUGUUCUUCUCCUGAUUUGAUAGCAUAAUAGAUUGUAACACAUAAAAGUGCUGUGGUACUGUCACGCCCUGACCUUAGUAUUCUUUGUUUUCUUUAUUAUUUUGGUUAGGUCAGGGUGUGACAUUAGAGGCAGCUGUUUAUCGUUGUCUCUGAUUGGGAACCAUAUUUAGGCAGCUGUAUUUCGUGGGUUAUUGUCUAUGGUUAGUUGGCUGUAUCUGCACUUGUUUAUAUAUAGCUUCACGUUUGUUUUGUUGUUUAAGUGUUCUUCGUUUCAUCAAAAAGAAGAACGUAUUCACAUCACGCUGGUCUCCUCCCUUCAACGAACGUGACAGGUGUACUGAUUUUGCUACAAUCUUUUCACCUGUGUAAUGCUGUCAUCCUCCUGCUUAUUCUGGGAUUCAGACUGAAUGCAGUGUUAAAUGUGCUGCUCACUACUGAAAGCAUCACCAUGGACCUGUUAAAUUGAUAAGAAUUGAUAUAGCUGUGUUUUAGGCAUAUCUUUCUUGUUCUCUGUCUGUUAAGUGUGUUUCUGUUUCUGCUGGAGUUGACCUAGUAUUGUAUAUAAAGCCUACCUUACAUAUCCAGUUUUUCCAUUUGUAACUCACCAACCAAAAACACAAUAUGCUGUUUUACAUUUUGUCCUUUUUUUGCUGGUCUAAUUCCUAAAAUGGAAAAAUCUGUGCUCUCAUGGAUAGUAAAACUGGUUCUGUCACGAUCGUCGUAAGGAGCGGACCAAAAUGCAGUGUGGUAUGUGUUCAUGAUGAUUUUUUAAUUAAAGAAAGCACUGAACACUGAAUACAAACUAUACAAAACAAUAAACGAAUAACGACCGUGAAGCUAUAAUGAGAACUGUGCUGACACAAGCAACUAACAUAGACAAUCACCCACAAACAAACAGUGAAACUCAGGCUACCUAAGUAUGAUUCUCAAUCAGAGACAACUAAUGACACCUGC